GAGAAAUUGACACAAAAAAAAAAAAACAAACAAACAAAUGAGGGUCGAACGAUGGGAAGAAUCAAAACUUUGCCCACUGACAAACCUCUCAACUCAUUGACAUUGGAAGCAACAACGGUCAAACAAAACCAGUUCACACAGAAAUUAGAUUAAUUUGGCGUCCUCGACUUUGUCAACAAUUUCCCUGUCCCCGCCCAGUGAAAAUACAUCAGUAGAGCCUACUCUACCCAAAGUUUUAUUCAUCUAAAAAUGUUUGUCAUAGCGCCGCCUUAGAUGCUGCUGCUUUAUAUUUAUUUGUCUGCCUCAAAUGUUGGAGUUUCCCAUUUUUUGAGUGCUCGAGCUACAUUAGUUCCGCAUUCAGGGACUCGAUUCUCGACUGCAGUUGCAUCUCCUUCUCCGGGAUAUCUGGGUAGUCGCGGGUCCGUAUUUUCGGCGGGGAGGAGCGAACGUGUUUCUUAUUAUUUUUCGCUGAUUAAUCGAUUGUCGGCUGCGUGUCGCUGGGUCUCCCUGCCUCCAUAUGUCAUCCCGACUGCAGCGCCCAGUGAUUCAGACACUUGUCACUGGAAAAAUGUAAACAUGAAAUGCAUUUAUGUAGAAAUGUAAAAAAAUAUCUGCGCGAAAUACAAACAUCCCCCGUCAUCUGGGGGAGGAUGCAAA